rnacentral:lncRNA from 1 species
GACGAUCCAACAUUGUUUGAAUCAUCAUUUGUACACCAGCCAUUGUUAGUGGCUCUGGUGCUGCAGCUACAACAGCUAUUUGUUCAAUCACUGGUGGUUGAUUCCUGUUUUCAUCAGCAUUCCCAUCUCCACUCCUCGUUCUCACCAUUUUUGAUAUAUACACCGAAUAAGGUGAAAUUAGAUCCUCAUUCACGAUAGAUAUUCAAAUCAUCCUUAUCACUCCGAAACAUUUACAUGCUAGUUCUAAUAUCGUAGACGUACGCUAAGAAUCCUACACACAUAAGGUUUCCAGAUCCNGUGGCUCUGGUGCUGCAGCUACAACAGCUAUUUGUUCAAUCACUGGUGGUUGAUUCCUGUUUUCAUCAGCAUUCCCAUCUCCACUCCUCGUUCUCACCAUUUUUGAUAUAUACACCGAAUAAGGUGAAAUUAGAUCCUCAUUCACGAUAGAUAUUCAAAUCAUCCUUAUCACUCCGAAACAUUUACAUGCUAGUUCUAAUAUCGUAGACGUACGCUAAGAAUCCUACACACAUAAGGUUUCCAGAUCCGGUUGGCAACAGACCAUAGAUCCAAACAAAUAAUAGCAUCAAUAUAGCUAUCACACAAAACAUUUUGCACAUAAGAGCAUUUUAGGCAUCAUUCCUAAAAUAAACUAGUGCUUGUGUCAAUUUAGGUGUACUACCUAACAUAUUUUAGACACACUCCUCACAACCAUUACUUAGCAUUCUAAGUUUAAGUCUAGAAAUCCUACAAAUUCCUAGUUCGCUUAAACUAAUGCUCUGAUACCAACUGUGACAUCCCCAUUUUCACGGCCAGAAAAGACCGAUUUG